CUGAUAUGAGGCUCCCAACACAUAUACAACAAGAAUUCCUGAAAAUAUGUUCCUCCAGCUGAAGUCACUGCUCCUGCUUUAAGAAACACUGUCCCUGUCACAGUUUUGCAUCAUUCAUCAUUUUCAAGGAUGGGAUACACUUCAAGAACCAGUAUCUGACAAAACAAGGAGUCUUGCUGUCCUGUUCGCUGAGUACUCCAACUUAUCCCUGAAACCAUGCCUCCUCUCAGCUUCAUGAGAAACUCACAGUACAGAGGCAGAGCACCACAUUCAGCUGAUGGUA